rnacentral:rRNA from 1 species
GACGAACGCUGGCGGCGUGCUUAACACAUGCAAGUCGAACGGAAAGGCCCUGCUUUUGUGGGGUGCUCGAGUGGCGAACGGGUGCGUAACACGUGAGUAACCUGCCCUUGACUUUGGGAUAACUUCAGGAAACUGGGGCUAAUACCGGAUAGGAGCUCCUGCUGCAUGGUGGGGGUUGGAAAGUUUCGGCGGUUGGGGAUGGACUCGCGGCUUAUCAGCUUGUUGGUGGGGUAGUGGCUUACCAAGGCUUUGACGGGUAGCCGGCCUGAGAGGGUGACCGGCCACAUUGGGACUGAGAUACGGCCCAGACUCCUACGGGAGGCAGCAGUGGGGAAUAUUGCACAAUGGGAGGAAGCCUGAUGCAGAAACGCCGCGUGCGGGAUGACGGCCUUCGGGUUGUAAACCGCUUUCGCCUGUGACGAAGCGUGAGUGACGGUAAUGGGUAAAGAAGCACCGGCUAACUACGUG